CUUUACCCCAGGGCAGGCGCCUUUCCCGGGAGGGAAGGCCAGGCCCUCUGGGUCACUAGGAAUCCCUCCCCGGACAGGGGCUGGGCUGGGCUGGGCAGCAGCUGCCUUUGUGAAGGAGCCUGGGACCCGCCGGUUAUCUUAGCUGAUGGAAAGCUGUUUGGAGGAUGUGCAGAGAACGAAGGGAAGCCACCUAGGACAUCACCCAGGGUAGAAGAGUAGCUCUCCCCAACCCCGUCCCCACCCCAUCUCACCCGGCGUUUCCCGAGUCCUUCUCUGGGAUUAUCAGACCCGAUAAUCGAGGUUUCUCCAUCGUGACGGUGACGCAGCUCUUCCCUGUCUCCACUCCUGUUACUCCCCUGCCUUGAGCGUCUGCGGCCUUGUCUCUGUGGCUCUUUGCUUCGGUCUCACCCUACUGUAGUGUCCCUCCCCGUGUCUCACAGCGGAGUCUGAUGGGGUCAGCCUGUCAGCAUGACUCUCAUGCCAGACCCCCUCCAAGGCCAUUGGCCCAGCAGUGGGAAGCUGCCCCGGAACUAGGGACUCAUUCCUGGCUCAAUCAAUUAUAACUGGAGCCACACGUGCAGAACGGGUCAACCGUUCAUUCACUGGACACGUGGAGCACAUCUUCUAUGGAGACUACAGCAACGAGAUAAAAACCACACAAGCCUCUGUCUUCAUGAACCUCAUGUUUUACUGGAGGCUGGGAGGACUGGCAAGAAACGAAAAGGAAAACAUAGGAUAGAUAUUGAUUCAGCUGGUGGAGAAAACAAAGCAAGACUGGGGUACAGGGAGUGAGGGAAACAGGGGCAUGUGCCACUUUCAGAUGAGGUGUUUGGGAAGGUCCAUGUGGGAGAACGGCGUCUGAGUCAUUAAGGACACAAAGAAAGUGAGACUUCCGAGAAGGAGCACUCACAGGGCCCUGGCAGACAUGACAAGUCCCUGGAGACAUGGCUGUGACGCUUAUAGAGACACGGUCAGCACCUAGAAUCACAGGGAGGCCGGGCCGUCUGGGGCCUCACAGAUGACAGGGCAAAACCUCCAGAAAGUACACAGUGCGCUCUAUGGUGCUUGCUUGAGUCUGAGAAGGGCCGGAGCACAAGGGGUGUUUCAGAAGGGAGCCUGAGGGCCGGCACCCACACUCUGUCUCUGCCCCAAAGCCCCACCUCGGGAGCAAGGAUGCCCCGACUUCCAGUUAGGAAUGCUCCAAUUCAAUGGGCCUUAACGUCUAGGGAACGUCAGAAUCGCCUGCACUGCUUGUUAAGUCGUGCAGGUCGCAGGGCCCAUCCCCAGUGGUUCCGAUCCAGUAGGUUCAGGUGUGGGGCCGGAUCAUGGCAUUUCCAACACUCCCCUCACGUGAUCCUUGUACACCUUCCACACUCUGAGCAGCGCUGCUUGCAUUUGCCCUCUCAUGACUAACUCUCAGCCCCUCCAGCUUUGCUCUUCCCUCUGAAAUGACCUGCCUCCUCUUCUGUUUCUCCUUCAAAGCCCAGCUGGGGCCACUUCCUGGAAGACGCCUUCCCUGACUUCCAAGGCAAGGCCCUUGGUGCCCUCCUCCGAGUAUUAGCCCCUUAGAUUUUUAUCAUGUCUAAUUGCUGCACUCACAUCUAUCUGCCUUUUGGAUUACAAGCCUCUGAGGACAACUUCUCCAGUUCCUACUUGCAGUAGGUCCAGGAAAAAAGACCAUGGGAAAACGAAAGAGUGCUGUUGGAGAGUGAAAAGUGUAAGCACUGCCGUAAUGGGCCUGUAAGACCGACUUGUUAGCUGACGCCACCUGGGAGAAGAGGCUUUGAGACACAGAGCAGGAUCAGCGGGGCAGACCCUCUGGCAACAAUGUGAAAUGGGUAACAUUUGACUUCUUCAAGCUUCAUCCCACCUCCCUUUACCUGUUGCCCUGGAGCUGAACUCUGGAUGCCCCAGGACACUUGAGAAAGAAUCCUGGUGUUUUACUAACUGAUAUAGCAAGCUUUGCCUGCUGUCAUUUAGAAGCUGCUAACAGAGAAGGUCGCAAAGAGUCGCACACGACUGAGCGACUGAACUGAACUG
ensembl:lncRNA